rnacentral:rRNA from 1 species
AGUCGAUGAAGGACGGGACUAACGCCGAUAUGCUUCGGGGAGCUGUAAGUAAGCUUUGAUCCGAAGAUUUCCGAAUGGGGAAACCCACCAUACGUAAUGGUAUGGUAUCCUUAUCUGAAUACAUAGGGUAAGGAAGACAGACCCAGGGAACUGAAACAUCUAAGUACCUGGAGGAAGAGAAAGCAAAUGCGAUUUCCUGAGUAGCGGCGAGCGAAACGGAACAUAGCCCAAACCAAGAGGCUUGCCUCUUGGGGUUGUAGGACAUUCUAUACGGAGUUACAAAGGAACGAGGUAGACGAAGCGACCUGGAAAGGUCCGUCGUAGAGGGUAACAACCCCGUAGUCGAAACUUCGUUCUCUCUUGAAUGUAUCCUGAGUACGGCGGAACACGUGAAAUUCCGUCGGAAUCUGGGAGGACCAUCUCCCAAGGCUAAAUACUCCCUAGUGAUCGAUAGUGAACCAGUACCGUGAGGGAAAGGUGAAAAGCACCCCGGAAGGGGAGUGAAAGAGAUCCUGAAACCGUGUGCCUACAAAUAGUCAGAGCCCGUUAACGGGUGAUGGCGUGCCUUUUGUAGAAUGAACCGGCGAGUUACGAUCCCGUGCGAGGUUAAGCUGAAGAGGCGGAGCCGCAGCGAAAGCGAGUCUGAAUAGGGCGUUUAGUACGUGGUCGUAGACCCGAAACCAGGUGAUCUACCCAUGUCCAGGGUGAAGUUCAGGUAACACUGAAUGGAGGCCCGAACCCACGCAUGUUGAAAAGUGCGGGGAUGAGGUGUGGGUAGCGGAGAAAUUCCAAUCGAACCUGGAGAUAGCUGGUUCUCCCCGAAAUAGCUUUAGGGCUAGCCUUAAGUGUAAGAGUCUUGGAGGUAGAGCACUGAUUGGACUAGGGGUCCUCAUCGGAUUACCGAAUUCAGUCAAACUCCGAAUGCCAAUGACUUAUCCUUAGGAGUCAGACGGCGAGUGAUAAGAUCCGUAGUCAAAAGGGAAACAGCCCAGACCGCCAGCUAAGGUCCCAAAGUGUGUAUUAAGUGGAAAAGGAUGUGGAGUUGC